rnacentral:lncRNA from 1 species
GGAAUCGCGGAAACACAGCGCGUCCGUCACAUAGUAGUCCAUGACAUCCAGCCCCGCCACGUCCACGUCAAUGAUGCUGCGCGGCAUCUCACCGGGCGCGUCGUCGUCAACGCCCGCAGGCGCAGGCGCAGGCGCAGGCGCAGGCGCGUCGUCGCGCGUGCGGGCCCGCGGCGGCGGCGGCUCCUGGUCCUGCUCAUGCCCCACGUUAACGGCGGCGGUGGUUCCGCUGCCGGCAGGAGACUGCUGCUGCUGGGCCCCCAGCACGCAGGCGAGCGA